GGGAGGAGGUCACAGGAUACAAAACAAUCUUUGAGUUUUGCUUUUCACUUGUAGGCCUUUCAACCAUCUGGAAUUCAGCAUUAUUUGUGAUGUCAGGGACAUGGAUGAACCUGGAAACCAUCAUUCUCAGCAAACUGAUAGAAGAGCAGAAGAUCAAAUACCGCAUGUUCUCACUCAUAGAUAAGGAAACUGUGAUGCAAAAAGGUGCAUCUGAUUCUUUCUGAAGAGAAAUGGCUAAAGCAGGAACGGGUUAAAUGAGGGCCAAGACAUUGGGCCUACAAGAGUAUCUCAGCAUAACUUGAACAAAAAUAGAACUCACAGAAUUCUGUCCAAAAUAUCAUAUUUAUGGAAUAUCUCUGAAGAAAUAGGUGAUUACAUCUGACUGGGAAUCAGAUGACCUGGGCUCUGACCCCAUCUCCCCUGCUAACCAUCUAUGCCCCUAGGUCAAUCACUUAACCUUCUAAGCUUCAGUUCCCUCAACUGUAAAGUGAGGUGGGACUAAUAACUUUGAAGUUAUCUACUGCUACUAAACGUAAGCUACAAUAUAAAUGGAUAGUAAUAAGUCAGGUUCAGUUAAGUUUUUAAAAAUUUUUAAACCACAAUAUGCUUACAUCAUAUAGGCAGGAAUCAUUGCCAUGUAAGUUUUUUAAGUGCCUGUAGAAGCUAAAGCAACUUCAUCUUGGAUGCUAAUCCACUAUAUUGACUUCUGAUUAACCUUUGUUCUGGGAAUGCCUCUAAGAUUUCUACUUUAUCUAGAUAGUUAUCAAUUUUGUCCUUAGCGCAAAAUAACCUUGACCAUAGAUCCUGCCCUUAGAAAGAUUCACAUAGCAUUCUUGUCUUUGCCGGAGAGGUCACCUUCAACUGUCCUACAUGUUCCUUCCCUAUAUUAUGUAAGCCCUGGGUCUAGGGGGGUAAUGGCACAGGGAUCUACCAUUUUGUCUCACUGCUGUCCAAGACUAUGGCUUCUAUUUGUAAAUAUCUAUUAAAUGUUUAUCUUU